UACGUAGGGUGCAAGCGUUUAAUCGGAAUUACUGGGCGUAAAGCGUGCGCAGGCGGUGCCACAAGUCACCUGUGAAAUCUCCGGGCUUAACUCGGAGCCUGCAGGCGAAACUGUGGUGCUGGAGUGUGGGAGAGGUGAGUGGAAUUCCCAGUGUAGAGGUGAAAUUCGUAGAUAUUGGGAAGAACACCGGUGGCGAAGGCGGCUCACUGGCCCGUAACUGACGCUCAU
rnacentral:rRNA from 1 species